AUACGUAGGUGACAAGCGUUAUCCGGAUUUACUGGGCGUAAAGGGCGUGUAGGCGGUCUUGCAAGUCAGAAGUGAAAUUCCUGAGCUCAACUCGGGCGCUGCUUCUGAAACUGCAGGACUUGAGUGCUGGAGGGGAUAGCGGAAUUCCUAGUGGAGCGGUAAAAUGCGCAGAUAUUAGGAAGAACACCGGUGGCGAAGGCGGCUAUCUGGACAGUAACUGACGCUUAGGCGCGAAAGCGUGGGGAGCAAACAGGAUUAGAUACCCUGGUAGUCCACGCCGUAAACGAUAAAUACUAGGUGUAGGGGGUAUCGACUCCCUCUGUGCCGCAGUUAACACAAUAAGUAUUCCGCCUGGGGAGUGCGGCCGCAAGGUUGAAACUCAAAGGAAUUGACGGGG
rnacentral:rRNA from 1 species